ACAAAACCCAAAGAAGAGGGCAGCGAGAAAAGAGGCAUAGAAGAGGAGAAAGGAGAAGAUCUGUGAGCUCUGGAAAUAAGAGAGAAGAAGGAAAAGACCAUCAAGAUCAACAAAAGCGAAAGAAGAGAGCAGAGAGAAAAGAGGAAUAUAAGAGGCGAAAGCAGGAGAUGUGUGAGCUCUGGAAAGAAGAGAGAAGAAAGAAAAGACCGGUUGCAAGAUUGUUGGGGUAGGAUAAAGAAGUGGAGAGAUUGAAGAAUUUGGUCGAAGAGGUUACUGGGUUUUGGAAGAGAUGUGUGUUUGAUUUGGGUAUAUGUUUGAUUAGGUAGCAUUUGAGCUGUUGUCAAUUGUCAAGCUGCUGUUGACAUUCCAAUCAUCUUUCUCAGAAUUUAUGCAAAAGAGUCUAAACAUCAUUUGGCUGCCACUAUUCCUUGGUCUACUGUUUCACGUUGUCUGCAUCUUUCAUUCUUAUUCAGAGCUUUGGGACAGUGUGCACUCAGUUAUGGCAUCAGAUAUCAGGCACAGAAGAGGAAAAAGAUUGCUAGAACAAAAUUAUUCUAUAUAUAAAGGGUGAAUAACACUGUUACACUAUUGCUAAGAAGCGGAAAACCCGUUUGUCCUCACUGUUCAAGGAGAAUAUCAGGUUGGCGGAAAAGUCGUUUUCGUCCUUCCUUUUGUCAGCGUUGGACAGGUAUAACGAUCGGGUCAUUUUCGUCCUUGCAUUUCUCAGUCUUGGAUAACGAUCGGGCUGCGAUUCAGUGGCUUACAAACAAUUUCAGUUCUGUCCAGGCGAAAGAAGAGAGAGGAGAAGAUCUAUUGCAAGAAAGAGGAAAGGAGGAGAUCUAUCGGGUCUGCAAAGAGGGAUAGAAGAGAGGAAAGGAGAAGAUCUAUUGGGUCUGGGAUCGAAAAAAGCGAAAAAAGAGAGUGGAAAGAAAAAACCGGUUGCAAAGAAUUUUAUCAUCAGAUACUUCCCAAGGCUUUAGCACAUUUCUUUCAAUCGAAGUUUCUGGUCAUAACUUGGUCAGGGCUUAGGUAUUUUGAUCCAUUUCAAUUCGAUCACUUAUCAAGAACGAUCCACACAGAAAUAGAGAGAUUUGCUGUGAUUGUUUGCUUUGCUUUGCACAAAGACAGACAGAGAGAGAGAUAGCUGAUAUUCACAAAAGGAGAUUGUCACCUCAUCAUCUGAGUACGAGCACACCAGAGGAUCACAGGAUGAUUGUUACUGAUAUUCGAAUUAGAACAAAUCUCCUGAACAGAAAAUGAACCAAGUAUGAUGGUAGGGUUCGUAUAAGUUCAGAUUCGAUGAGUAAAAUAGAGGCAGAACUUGAACCUGAAUUUCAAAGGUUAGGGCUAAACAAGAAUACUUCUACUUUGGAGAGAAGAUUAACUGAUCUUGAUGAGUUUGACGAAUUGGUAGAGCUGGAGUGAUCUGAUUGCCAAUAUAUGAAAUUAACAAUGAGUCCAAGCUGCUAUCAUCACAGUUGAAGGGGGUUAUACCCUGGUGGAGAUCUUCCCUUCCUGUCCAAGACCAUGAGUUGUUAAGAAUGAAGAUCUAUUAAGAGUUUUGGUGAAAAUUGAGAGCUUCGAAGCCAUUCACAAGCAGGAAAAAAUCAUUAAAGCUUUCUAUGGAGUCAUGAUUGCUCGGAUUGAUCUUGGAGUUGAAAUCCCACUCAAACAGAUUCCAAUGGUCCAAGAGAAAAUAAUUCAAGUGUGUGGGCAGCUAAACAAUCAAGUAGUUGUAGCUUCUCAACUACUUGAAUCAAUGAUUGAAUACCCAACCCCAACACACGUUGAGGAAAGGAUAUUUCUUCCUUGCCUUGGUGGUGAAUUGGACAGUGAGUGUGAUGAACCAGUUUCAAUGAAACUGUCUACACACAAUCAAGAAGAGCUACUAGAUUGCAAAACACUAUAAGAGGUUUUAAAGAGCUUGGAAAAGAAGGUGCCUAACUUGAAAAUUUUCACCUAUGAACGAUUGGAUCGAUUGAAAAGAGUGAGAAUGUGACACAGAAUGCGUUUAGAAGUGAUGCCGAAUACUUAACCUGUGAAUGUUCUUUUCUGAUUUUGGGUUGGUUUCUUAUUUGAAUCCUUUUCGUUUGAUUUUUGUUGGUUGUUAGUUCAGUUAGGAAAAAAGCAAUUUACAAUUGUUAUAUGACUAGAAUGCAUUUAUACUACCCGAGGCAAAGUGCGGUAUCGCAAGGUUUGUUUAUCUCAGAUAUACUGCAUGUAUGUCAACAAUGGAAACUUGGAGCAGUAACUUCAUGGAGGUAUCCGUCACCAUGGGUAUCUCUAUUUGUCUUUGAUGCCAACGUGUUCUUCUUAUUCAACGAGUCACAAGAUAUACUUUUUCGCAUUCUUGCUUAUUUACACAACGCCAUUGAACCAAAGUUGAUACAUCGAGACAUUAAGCGGAGGCUUCUUCUUAGCUGCUAAGUACUUUGUAAAGGAAUAUCCAUUUGCGGAAGAGAGAGCAGUUACUGACUUUAGUUUGCCAAAUCAAGUCUGACUGAUAAGAAAAUUGAAUUCAAGAGGGAGUUCCGUCCAGGUGAGUUACCUCCAGGUGAGGUACUGCUAAUGUCGCUGGAUGCAAUUGUUGCACGGCUAAAACAGAAAGCUGAUUGUCUAGAGGGAUACAUAUUCUGUCACAGAACAAUGUGGUAAUGGAAAUCAAAGGCUUGGAGGAAUCAGAUGAUAUUGAAGUACUUUCUAGAGCAAUUCAAUUGGGAACAAUUUGUGUCUCUUCACAAAAAUACUACUGCAAUUGAUGUAAUAUAUGGUAUUUUAUCAGUUUGAUCAAUAAUAAAGUCAUUUUCAAUUA